UUAAACAUGCAAGUCGAACGGGGAAUUAGCAAUAAUUCUUAGUGGCGAACGGGUGAGUAACGCGUGGAUAACCUACCUUUCAGACGGGGACAACAUUCCGAAAGGAGUGCUAAUACCGGAUGAGCUGACCGCAGCGCAUGCAGCGGUUAAGAAAGAUGGCCUCUUUACAAUGCUAUCGCUGAAAGAUGGGUCUGCGUCUGAUUAGCUGGUUGGCGGGGUAAAGGCCCACCAAGGCGACGAUCAGUAGCCGGUCUGAGAGGAUGAACGGCCACACUGGGACUGAGACACGGCCCAGACUCCUACGGGAGGCAGCAGUGGGGAAUCUUCCGCAAUGGACGAAAGUCUGACGGAGCAACGCCGCGUGAGUGAAGAAGGUUUUCGGAUCGUAAAGCUCUGUUCUUAGGGACGAACGGCUGAAGCGUGAAUAAUGCUUUGGAUUGACGGUACCUAAGGAGAAAGCCACGGCUAACUACGUGCCAGCAGCCGCGGUAAUACGUAUGUGGCG
rnacentral:rRNA from 1 species